UUUGCUUCCUUUAUUCCCAACAGCCCAGCCUGACCCUAUUGAACCACUUGAGGUUCACAUGAGCCUUUGUGGUCCCUUUGGAUGGCAUCUCAUCCCCCAGGAACACUUGGAGGACACCACUUGUUACUCGUUGCCAUUUGGACACUUGGCUACUGUCUGUAAAUCUCUGGACAUGACCAUCCAACCAAUUCCUCAUCCAUCUAACAGUUCUUCCAUCAAAUCCAGUUUGGAGGUAAUCCAGGGCCACUGGAAGAGUUUUUCCUAGCAUGGCAGUGGCAGCAGGUGAAAGCCAGCAGCAGCCAGGUCAUCCACGUGGCAGUGUGGAGAGGUAGUGGUGAGGGUGAAGAAUCUCCAGCCUUGAAGGGUAUGCCUGCACAGGAAAAGAGGCCACCCCAGCCAGGCUUCCUACCUUGAGCACGGGGGCCAUGAAGAUGGAGACUCCCAUCAGGAUGAAGACAACCAGGCCUGUCAGCCUCUGCUCCCUGUGGGUGGCAGCUCAGGUGUCACAGGCUCUCCAUGUGUGCCAGGGAGAUGACAGUGGCUGAGACAUACCAGGGGAGGCCAGUGACAGAGGUGACAACCAUCAGGAGG